AACAUAACAAAGUGAUAAAUUUACCCAGCAAGGAAACUAAAGAAAAUUUUGUCAAAUGUCAAUUAUCUAUGCAAAUGGAGGAGAACAAGUGAGCAGAUAAUGAGCAGUGACAGUUAACAUAAACAUAAUUCACAUUUGACUUUGGAAUCCUGUAUAUGCUUUAGUUUGAAGGAAGUGAAAGAGGGGAAGCUGGGGAACAAAUUUAUUUUCCAAUUCCUAUUUGCUUUUAUCAGGUAUUUAUACUGAUUUUCCCUGAGUCCAUUGAAUCUGAAGGAGAACAGAAAGAGGGAAGAGACAAGUGUAGGCAGAACACUGCACCCUCCUCCUUCCCCCAAAGUUGUCCACUUUCUAAUCCAGGAAAGUGUUUUGUGGCAAAGCAGAUUUAGGGUUGCAAAUGGAAUUAAGGUGGAUAAUAAGCUGACCUUAAAACAGGGAGAUUAUUUUGGAUUAUUUCAGUGGGCCAGUGUAAUCACAAGAGUCCUUAAAAGUGGAAGAGGGAGGUAGAAGAGAGUCAGAGAAAGAGAUGUGAUGAUGAAAGUAGGGUCAGAGAGAUGCUGUGAUGCUGGCUUUGAAGAUGGAGGAAGUGGACCAUGAGCCAAGGAAUAGAGGUGGCCUCUAGAAGUUGGCAAAAACAAGAAAAACAGAUUCUUUCCUGGAGCCUCCAGAAAGGAAUGCAGCUCUGCCAACACCUUGGUUUUAGCUCAGUGAAACCGGUGUUGGACCUCUGACCUACAGAAUGGUCAGAUAAUGAAUUUGUAUGGUUUUAAGCCACUAAGUUGAUGGUAAUUUGUUACAUCAAUAAAUAGAAAACUAAUACAGAGGCCAAGAAUACAACUGGAUGGUAAGAAAGGCAGUCCAAGAUUUAAAAUUAUGUGUUAGUACUUUUCCAAAUAGAUAAUUCACAUAAGACCAAUUAAGUUGAUUCUCUUGUUCUUUAAGAAAAAAUACUCUUGAGAUUCCCUGUUAAUUUUUGUCCUUCUGGAUGUGUAGAGUAUCUCACAUCCCUUGUGGCCAAGGGGAACUGGAUAUGGACAGCAAUCACAGUUAAUCCUUGAAAAAAAACCAUGACACUUUCACAAAUUUGUCUUCAAUGUUCGUAGAUUCUUUUUUUGAGACCUUAUCCCCAAACCAUUUUCUUGUACAUUAUGAAUAUCAAGAAAGCAGGAGUUCUGAAUGCCCUCAUCCUUGGUAGGAAGUGUGAAUAGCCUACUGGUGCAUUUCACCACUGGUGUUUUAACUGAAACACUUAUUCACACCAUGUCCUCAUAGAAUCCUGAAAUUUCAGAGUAAGAAAGAGCCUUUCCAAUUAUCCUGUCCCAUUCCCCUUGUUUUACAGAAGAGAAAUGAAAUGUUGUGAUCAAGGUUACAUAGGAAAUGUACGGCAGAGCCAGGACUAGAAAGUUGAGGUCUUGACUGUUGGUGUGGACUUCCCCACUCCACUCACACUGCCCCCUCUGGAUGCUUGCAGAGUUUGUCUUCCAUCUUCCAGGCCAGCCAAGGUGACAGGUUAUUGACUCUGUACCUACAACUACCCAACAACAAAACUACUGUCUUCCUCAGAGCAACUGCAGUUAUUUUUAAGCACAAAGAACACAUAAAAAAAUAGAAGGUCUGAUGAGAUCGAAAGGACAUGACUAUAGCAAUAAGAGGAAAGCUCACCCAUUUGCUCUUUGAUCAGAGUGAAGAUGAUUACUAUCUUUGAGAAGACGUUGUAGCAUAUGGUGAAACAGUACUAAAUCAUUCUCACCCUAUCACCCAGUACAUCCACAAAUGAAAAUACUGACCUAGUGAAAAUCAGUUAUCUUCAGCACCUGUGUUUUGUUUUUGCUGUAAAAAAAGCACCUUAAUUAAAAUGCAUUACAAAACCAAGUGCUGCAGUGUUUCUACUGUGCUAUGUGGUCAUGUGGUAGCCACAUUAUCAUCAAGUGCUCACAAUGGGACAUUCCCUUCUCCUCGUUCAUUAAUAUUCAUGGAAUAGCAGACAUUUGAACCUUCUAUGUCACCUUUCUUAGCAUCAUAUUUUGAUAUUUUUUCUAGAAGUAUCUUUUACCUGUUUUAUAGCAACUGACAUUCUCUUUCGUUUCUCUCCUGUUUCAUUUCUUUCCUGUUCUAUCCCUCUCGUGGUUUCUUUCCCCUACUCAUCUACUUGCCUAAAUAGAGUCAGGAGCUGUCUUCACCUCUCCAGCUUAGAGCGUGGGUUGCUGCAGAGAACCCAUGCAGAUAGACCGGCCCCACCAUUCAUGCCCAUUGACUUGAG